rnacentral:rRNA from 1 species
GACAGAGGGGGCAAGCGUUGCUCGGAAUCACUGGGCGUAAAGGGCGCGUAGGCGGGAUGGCAAGUCAGUCGUGAAAUCUCUCGGCUCAACCGAGAAACGUCGGCUGAUACUGCCGUUCUUGAGGGAUGCAGAGGAGACUGGAAUUCCCGGUGUAGCGGUGAAAUGUGUAGAGAUCGGGAGGAACACCGGUGGCGAAGGCGGGUCUCUGGGCAUUUCCUGACGCUGAGGCGCGAAAGCUAGGGGAGCAAACGGG